rnacentral:lncRNA from 1 species
GUUGGUGUGGAUCCCUGGCUUAAGAUGACUCCAGAGCGCGGCGCGGCCUUCCCCAAGAGAGGAGACUUCUUGGGUCACCCCCUAACUCUGAUGUUCGGGCAUCGAUGACCUGUGUAGCAUGCAGAGGUAUCCAAGGGAGUCACCACCCUCUGGUUUACGAGCUAGGUGUUCUAACGCUAGAGGCUUCGGCCGGAUACGACCUGGCACCCAAGCUCCGAGACUUCUUCGUGCACGUAUUCCGUGACCCUCGAAGAGGCAGGGGGCGGGAUAUCGGACACAUUGAAGAUGAUGAGGGGGGUCCGCCUGUAGGGGGUCCCGGUGGAUGUCCGUCCGACGGGUGACGAGGGUGACCCCAGACGAGGCGGCUUAAUUGGGAUGGGAACUGACUGGUGAGGCUUAAUCGUCGACCAAUGGGUCGAAUCUGCAUAAGGAAGGCAACCAGCACACACUCACAGGCGCGUCGUGGAAACAUUUUUUGUUUUUUCUCUUGGUCUGCCCCGCGUCGAAUUUUGAAGGCAGAAAAUGUCGGGAGGAGGCGAGCAUAACCAGGCCUAACUUAAACCUGUUAAAAGACAACCCGGGUUCGCAGCGCGAUUUUAAAAAACGAGAUUGAAGAAGUCAGAAAUUCUAUCUACAUGCUGCAUAUGAUCAGUCCCAAAAAAAUUCGGAUUGUUCCAGGCACCGUCGCAUACCUGGAAAACGUGUUUAUUGUCAACUCUACAGGAUCGACCGAAGUCCAUGGAGUUGGGGAUAUUCGAUGUGCCCCAUAGUAGUGAGACGCCACUGUUUUUUUCGCCGUAUAAUUAUUAAUUAUUAUGGUGGGACUGAAAAUGAACUUAAGCAAGAUGUGAUGGUGAUACAGUAUGGCUUGGAGAACUUCAAAAGUCGGUUCGCGUCGUGGUUCCAAAGCAGUAACUUUAGGUUCCCUACAUUUACAGAAUGUUGCAUUAAGUACUCAUUUUUAAUUUGCAAUAUUUACAUUUAUUUUUACUUUUUUUCUUACUCUAUACAAGGCUUUAAUAUAAAGUUUUUUAGCAAUAAUAAAUGGGUAAUAAAAAAUAACUCCAAAGAGACAAAAUUAGGUAGCAUAUUGUUUUUCUAUUACAUUUGGAAAUAACUAUUUUUCGUCUUGUUU